GCUUACGAACUACAAGAAAUUUGAGCGUCUCUUUUGGCUUAUGUGGAGUCAAGAAACGCGUCAUUUCGAACCCUUUAUCUUGGAUACUGUCUUUUCUGUCCAGGUCAACGUGUGUUCUUAUGCUGGAUUGAGUGGUUGGGAUACUUUGUUGAGGAUUCAUGCUUUUCUCUCAGUCACCGCUAUUAUUUAGAAGAAAAGAAAUGGAACACCUCGAAAUCAAGAAAGUCAAGGAAGGAGAGAAAUACAGGAUCACAUCUGACAAGGUCCAGCGUCUUCUUCCUUUCAGAACGCAACGUUACGUUUCGCACACCAAACGCACGUCUUCACUCGACAACUGACAGCGUGGUUUGCUGAAAAUCUACAACUUCUGAUGAAUAUGGAUUAACGACGGCAGCCAAUAACCGGCUGCUACACCACAGAUUUGGCGCGGAGUAUUGUGUGCAAACUCAGCGCCACUUUUUUUUGUUUUUCAAGCGAGCAGAGGAAAGGGCGAGACCUAGUCAAAUGGACAGGUGCUAAAAGGAAAAUACUUGCAAAGGUUACGCCCCGGGCGCUUUUAUCUACUCACCUAAAAAACUAAAAACUCGAAAUGGCGUCUGUUCCACAGGUUAGUACUCAGAGAGCCACAUCCAAC